GUGCUGGCGUCAGCCGCGCGUAUACUAAAACUGGAACGACACAGAGAUUAGCACGGCCCCUGUGCAAAGAUGACGUGCAAACUUGUGAAGUGUUCCAUGUUUUU
ensembl:snRNA U6 U6 spliceosomal RNA